rnacentral:misc_RNA from 1 species
GUAGGUGAACCUGCGGAAGGAUCAUUAACACGUAUCCACGUAUCAACCCCUCUGUGAACACCUAGAAGCAGAAAGGUCUGGUCUUAGUGCAUUGUCCGCAUAAGUCCUAAUGAUGGCCCCCCGCAAGGGGGGAGGGCUGGGCAGUGUGUGUUUGACGAUCAACCGUUACCUUCCCAUUGUUGGCCUUUACAAUUUUUUAACCCCUUUGUACUUUUUGUACUGAACCAUUCUUUUGAUGCUCUUUCGAGAG